rnacentral:lncRNA from 1 species
GUGGAUAAAUUUUUAAUUAACUUUUUAACUCCGCCCUCCCUCAGAAUUUUAACUGGAGAGAUCAAUUAAUUAAAAAAUACUUAAAAACCGCUCGACUGGACCCUAGGGCAGACACAGAAUCAUACUAUCCAUGCAUGCACUUAUAUAUAAUAAACAUAUACAUGCAAUUAAAUGAGAACGAAAAUAAAUAAAGAUUAAUCGAAGAAGUACAUACCUGAAUGAGUUCCAUGAGAAAAUGGACAUCCUUAGUGUAAAGUUCAGCAGAAAGAAGCUCAACAGCUCGAUGAACCAUCUUUGUUAGAGGAUUUAUCACCUCACUCCCUAUAAAGAACAUCUUCCUUCUUAUCUCCUCAAUGUGUUCUUUUGGUGUCGCCAUAGCGUAUGCCAUGUUUUUUUUCAAAAGAGCAGCAGCUUGAUCAACAAAACACAGAAUGUAUGUUCUUGUUCUUGAUCUUGUGUGAAGAAAUGAACCUAGCUAGUGGAUUUAAAUACUGCACCAAUAUUUAUAUGCUAAGUAAUGAAACGAUCGUUAAUUUCAAAAUCCCAGCAAAGAAAAGAGAGAGCUACUUCUUAAUUCAAUUUGCGUGCAAUUCAACAAAAACAAGUGAAAGUAAGUAAAUGAGGCUGGUGCCAGCGGAGUGGAAGUUUACUCAUAAAAAGAAGCAAGGCUAACUUCUUGGAGAAGUAGAAAAAUUAACUGUUGAUAAAUAUGUUUUUAUUGAUUUUG